GAUGAAGAACGCAGCGAAAUGCGAUACGUAAUGUGAAUUGCAGAUUUCAGUGAAUCAUCGAAUCUUUGAACGCACAUUGCGCCCGCUAGUAUUCUGGCGGUCAUGCCUGUUCGAGCGUCAUUUCAACCAUCAAGCCCUAGGCUUGCGUUGGAGCCCUGCGGCUGCCGCAGGCUCCCAAAUCCAGUGGCGGGCUCGUCGUCGUACCGAGUGCAGUAAACAUCCUCGCUCAGGGAACGUGACGGGUUCUUGCCGUGAAACCCCCCACAUAUCAAGGUUGACCUCGGAUCAGGUAGGAAUACCCGCUGAACUUAAGCAUAUCAAUAAGCGGAGGA
rnacentral:misc_RNA from 1 species